GGUCCUACCGAUAUCGUACACCUCACCUAAUAGUUAUUGAUAAUACGAACAUCGAUGCAUGGACAAUUCUUUGCCCAGAUACUUCUCUAAAAAUGUUAUAGCUACUUGGUCUUCAAGUCAUGUAGGCUCACCUAAUAGUUAUUGCCCAUACUUCUUAGUUAAGUCAGACCCACCAUUCACAAGCAGGUGUAAAGCUAUCAUUAGGUCUCUCACCUAACAGUUAUUGGGUCCAACCCCAUCUUUAUCUUGGAGCAACUCUUUGCUAGUAGAGUGGUUGUGUGUCUUCGAUG
rnacentral:lncRNA from 1 species